CAAACGCCGGGUUAAGGCGCCCGAUGCGGACGCUCAUGAGAGCCCAUGAAAGGUGUUGGUUGCUAUAGACAGCAGGACGGUGGCCAUGGAAGUCGGAAUCCGCUAAGGAGUGUGUAACAACUCACCUGCCGAAGCAACUAGCCCUGAAAAUGGAUGGCGCUCCAGCGUCGAGCCCAUACCCGGCCGCUGGCGGCGCGCAAACGAUGCCCCAGCGAGUAGGAGGGUCGCAGCGGUGAACGUCGAAGGUGUCGGGCGUAGGCCCGCCUGGAGUCGCCGCUGGCGCAGAUCUUGGUGGUAGUAGCAAAUACUCAAGUGAGACUCCUUGAGGACCGAAGUGGAGAAGGGUUCCAUGUGAACAGCAGUUGAACAUGGGUCAGUCGGCCCUAAGGAAUGGGAUAAUUCCGUUCCGAUCGGCCGGGCCUCGAGCCCGCGCGACCGAAAGGGAAUCCGGUUAAUAUUCCGGAACCAGGCGACAGGGAUCGGUCCUGCUUUUCCCCGUUCGCGGGGGGGCAGGGCCCGUGGCGGCAACGCAAACGAGCUCGGAGACUGGCGGUGGGGGUCCCGGGAAGAGUUUUCUUUUCUUCGUAAGGGACGGACUCCAUGGAAUCGGCUUGCCCGGAGAUAUGGACGUUGUUCCCGGAAAGCACCGCGGCUCUUGCGGUGUCCGGUCCACUUCCACCGUCCCGUGAAAAUCCGAGUUCGCGACAUGAUCUUUGUGCCUGACCGUACCCAUAUC
rnacentral:rRNA from 1 species